UCCAUGGUAAUCCCUGGCAGGUGGAAGUGAGCAGGAGGCUCCAUGUAGCCUUGGUAGUGCUGGAUCCAGAGGUCUUAAUGGAAGUGUUUGGAGGUCACUUGAAAGUAUGUGUGAGGCAGAUGGUGAGUCUGAUGAGGAACCUGAAGAUCACUUUAUCCUGGUGCUCGUGGCCUACUUGGUGUGCUGUCCCUUAGGAGCUGUGGCCAUGUACUAUUCUGAACAGACAAGGAAACACAACUAUAAGAAUGAACGAGACCUGGCAGCCGAGGCUUCCCGCUAUGCCUUCAUAUUUGCGAUUGCAGCAAUUCUGGUGGUAUGCAUCGGUAUAUUACUCCUCGUGAUUCUCUUGACAGUGGCCAUACUUUCUCGGUAACCUGCCCUCCAGCUCAUGAGCAAAUCACCAAAUAUAUACAGCAGCAUUACUUA